rnacentral:rRNA from 1 species
UUAAAUUGAAGAGUUUGAUCAUGGCUCAGAUUGAACGCUGGCGGCAGGCCUAACACAUGCAAGUCGAACGGUAACAGGAAGCAGCUUGCUGCUUUGCUGACGAGUGGCGGACGGGUGAGUAAUGUCUGGGAAACUGCCUGAUGGAGGGGGAUAACUACUGGAAACGGUGGCUAAUACCGCAUAACGUCGCAAGACCAAAGAGGGGGACCUUCGGGCCUCUUGCCAUCAGAUGUGCCCAGAUGGGAUUAGCUUGUUGGUGAGGUAACGGCUCACCAAGGCGACGAUCCCUAGCUGGUCUGAGAGGAUGACCAGCCACACUGGAACUGAGACACGGUCCAGACUCCUACGGGAGGCAGCAGUGGGGAAUAUUGCACAAUGGGCGCAAGCCUGAUGCAGCCAUGCCGCGUGUAUGAAGAAGGCCUUCGGGUUGUAAAGUACUUUCAGCGGGGAGGAAGGUGUUGUGGUUAAUAACCGCAGCAAUUGACGUUACCCGCAGAAGAAGCACCGGCUAACUCCGUGCCAGCAGCCGCGGUAAUACGGAGGGUGCAAGCGUUAAUCGGAAUUACUGGGCGUAAAGCGCACGCAGGCGGUCUGUCAAGUCGGAUGUGAAAUCCCCGGGCUCAACCUGGGAACUGCAUUCGAAACUGGCAGGCUUGAGUCUUGUAGAGGGGGGUAGAAUUCCAGGUGUAGCGGUGAAAUGCGUAGAGAUCUGGAGGAAUACCGGUGGCGAAGGCGGCCCCCUGGACAAAGACUGACGCUCAGGUGCGAAAGCGUGGGGAGCAAACAGGAUUAGAUACCCUGGUAGUCCACGCCGUAAACGAUGUCUACUUGGAGGUUGUGCCCUUGAGGCGUGGCUUCCGGAGCUAACGCGUUAAGUAGACCGCCUGGGGAGUACGGCCGCAAGGUUAAAACUCAAAUGAAUUGACGGGGGCCCGCACAAGCGGUGGAGCAUGUGGUUUAAUUCGAUGCAACGCGAAGAACCUUACCUGGUCUUGACAUCCACAGAACUUUCCAGAGAUGGAUUGGUGCCUUCGGGAACUGUGAGACAGGUGCUGCAUGGCUGUCGUCAGCUCGUGUUGUGAAAUGUUGGGUUAAGUCCCGCAACGAGCGCAACCCUUAUCCUUUGUUGCCAGCGGUCCGGCCGGGAACUCAAAGGAGACUGCCAGUGAUAAACUGGAGGAAGGUGGGGAUGACGUCAAGUCAUCAUGGCCCUUACGACCAGGGCUACACACGUGCUACAAUGGCGCAUACAAAGAGAAGCGACCUCGCGAGAGCAAGCGGACCUCAUAAAGUGCGUCGUAGUCCGGAUUGGAGUCUGCAACUCGACUCCAUGAAGUCGGAAUCGCUAGUAAUCGUGGAUCAGAAUGCCACGGUGAAUACGUUCCCGGGCCUUGUACACACCGCCCGUCACACCAUGGGAGUGGGUUGCAAAAGAAGUAGGUAGCUUAACCUUCGGGAGGGCGCUUACCACUUUGUGAUUCAUGACUGGGGUGAAGUCGUAACAAGGUAACCGUAGGGGAACCUGCGGUUGGAUCACCUCCUUA